UUAGAUUUUCUUCUGAAAUUUUCCUCGGAUUUUUGUUGUUAAAGAUUGAUGGAGAUGAUACGAAGAUGAAGAAGAGGAGAAG
rnacentral:pre_miRNA from 1 species